rnacentral:rRNA from 1 species
CCUACGGGUGGCUGCAGUGGGGAAUUUUGGACAAUGGGGGCAACCCUGAUCCAGCAAUGCCGCGUGUGUGAAGAAGGCCUUCGGGUUGUAAAGCACUUUUGGCGGGAAAGAAACGGCGCUUGCUAAUACCAGGCGCUAAUGACGGUACCCGCAGAAUAAGCACCGGCUAACUACGUGCCAGCAGCCGCGGUAAUACGUAGGGUGCGAGCGUUAAUCGGAAUUACUGGGCGUAAAGCGUGCGCAGGCGGUUCUGUAAGACGGAUGUGAAAUCCCCG